rnacentral:rRNA from 1 species
AGACGACUCUCGGCAACGGAUAUCUCGGCUCUCGCAUCGAUGAAGAACGUAGCGAAAUGCGAUACUUGGUGUGAAUUGCAGAAUCCCGUGAACCAUCGAGUCUUUGAACGCAAGUUGCGCCCGAGGCCACUCGGCCGAGGGCACGCCUGCCUGGGCGUCACGCCACCCAUCGCCCCCUCCCGCGGCACUCCCGUGCCCGGCCGGGGAGCGGAGACUGGCCGUCCGUGCCCGAGUCCUCGGCGCGCGGUCGGCAGAAAAGGAGGACACCGUGCGGCGCGGCACGGCGUGUGGGGGUUGAGAGGCGAUUCGUCGCCGAUCGUACGUCGCGCCCGCAUCCCGCCGCGCGCAGCGUCACCCGUGGGACCGGACUCGCCCGCAGCCGCGGGCGCUCGGACCGCGACCCCAGGUCAGGCGUGGCCACCCGCUGAAUUUAAGCAUAUCAAUAAGCGGAGGAGAAGAAACUUACGAGGAUUCCCCUAGUAACGGCGAGCGAACCGGGAGCAGCCC